AGUCCGAGUUGUAAUUUGCAGAGGGCGCUUUGGCUUUGGCAGCGGUCCAAGUUCCUUGGAACAGGACGUCACAGAGGGUGAGAAUCCCGUACGUGGUCGCUGGCUAUUGCCGUGUAAAGCCCCUUCGACGAGUCGAGUUGUUUGGGAAUGCAGCUCUAAAUGGGAGGUACAUUUCUUCUAAAGCUAAAUAUUGGCCAGAGACCGAUAGCGCACAAGUAGAGUGAUCGAAAGAUGAAAAGCACUUUGGAAAGAGAGUCAAACAGCACGUGAAAUUGUUGAAAGGGAAGCGCUUGCAGCCAGACUUGCUUACAGUUGCUCAUCCGGGUUUCUACCCGGUGCACUCUUCUGUAGGCAGGCCAGCAUCAGUUUGGGCGGUAGGAUAAAGGUCUCUGUCACGUACCUCCUUUCGGGGAGGCCUUAUAGGGGAGACGACAUACUACCAGCCUGGACUGAGGUCCGCGCAUCUGCUAGGAUGCUGGCGUAAUGGCUGUAAGCGGCCC
rnacentral:rRNA from 1 species